rnacentral:tRNA from 1 species
GCGGGAAUAGCUCAGUUGGUAGAGCACGACCUUGCCAAGGUCGGGGUCGCGAGUUCGAGUCUCGUAUCCCGCUCCA